GUCGAGGAUAUUUAGCAAUGGGGGAAACCCUGACUAUGUGACGCCGCGUGAGGGAUGAAGGUUUUCGGAUCGUAAACCUCUUUCGAUGGGGAAGAAACUUUGCAUUAACACUGCAAACUGACGGUACCCAGAGAAGAAGCCACGGCCAACUCUGUGCCAGCAGCCGCGGUAAGACAGAGGUGGCGAGCGUUACUCGGAUUUAUUGGGUGUAAAGGACAGGUAGGCGUCCCUAUAAGUUAGAAGUGAAAUCCUGCAGCUCAACUGCAGAACUGCUUUUAAAACUAUAGGGAUUGAGGCUAGAAGAGGAGAGCGGAAUUCCCGGUGUAAGGGUGAAAUCUGUAGAUAUCGGGAGGAACACCAGUGGCGAAGGCGGCUCUCUGGUCUAGCCCUGACGCUGAACUGUGAAAGCUUGGGUAGCAAACAGGAUUAGAUACCCUGGUAGUCC
rnacentral:rRNA from 1 species